GCUAGUGAAGCUAAAAUCAUGUCAAAUGGGAAAAAGUUUUUCAACCCAAAAACUGGAGAAAACCAUGGAAUUUUUGGCUAUCAUUAUUUGAAAUUUCACCGCAUGAGAGAUCCGAAAUGGACUCAAGGAGAUAAAAUAAUCCAGUAUAGCGGAAUUUCAAAAUUAUACGAACGCGAUGGGGAACUGAAGCGACUUGAAACCAUAUUGAAACGCAAAAACAAACAGCUAUAUACUAAGAAAAUUCACAUAGCUAUCAAAGACAAUACCAGCACAUUGCACGUCGCCACCGUCGGAGAUAGUCAACGCGUUAAAAACUGUUUCCUUGAUCACCUGAGAAUUCAGAGGGCCUAUAAUGCCCUGAUGAUUGAGAGGAUUCUUGAAAAGCUAGACCAGGAAAAGUGUGUAAAGCGUAAGAUUCUCAACCUUCAUACCCAUCGGCUCUGCACUCUAGCCAAAUAUUACGAAGGCGAAUUGAUGAAAUUGUCGACACUGCAAGACAGGACGAAAUUUUCCGAUCCGCAAGAAUUAUACGAAGAGAUCGAGGCAAAACAUUAUGAACUGGAGCUGCGCAACUAUAGCACACGUUCUCGCACGGCAAGCGCUGUUACCAGAGCUUAUAACAUUGCCAUCACGGUUAUGUUGAAGGACUCAAUAUACUAUGAUUCUGUACUGAGCUCACUACAGGAGGACUUAGUAGAGCAGGAUAGAUUCAUUCAAAAAACUAUAAGAACGGGAAUUCCAGCAAUGAAAAAUAUCCAAAGUUUGCAGCAGGAGUUCGAGAACUUGAACACAAAAACCAGCCAGAGACUAUCAAAUCACUUCAAUGAGUUAAUAAAACAGCAGGAAAUUCUAAACACAAAUAAUACAACCGUGAAAACCCUCGUGAGAAGAGAUAGUGACUUUGAAGUGAACCCACUUCGUUACAAUCGAGACACCCAAAGUAUGACAGAUCUAAAAAUUGAAAGAGAUGCGAUUGAAAUCCAACUGAAGAAAUUAAAGAACACCACAUCAUGUGGGCACCCUAAACAAAUCUACCCUAGGGUGAAGCAACAAAGACGUGAUAACAAGCUCAUAAAGAAGCGUUUGACACGUCGAGAAUUUGAUAGUAAAAAAGAGCAAAUAGAAACUGAAUUGGCGCAAAUCAAUCACGAUGAACUGUUGCACGACUACACUCCAGAUGAAUUACGUCGGAAAAUAGAGUGCAAAUCUGUUGAAGACGAUAUCGUUCGUGAGAAGAAAAAACAGGACGAAAUAUUGGCUCAGGAUGAAGAACUUGAAGAAGUAAACAGAACUCUGAAGACUUCUUUCGAACAUAUUUUGGAUAUUAUGAAAAACAUGGAAACAGAGUCCAAUGCUGGAACAGUCCAGCGCGCUCUCAAUACUGCUCGAUUUGAUACAUCAAUAGCUCCAACCAAAGUUGACUGUGCAGUUCUCAUUCCAAAUGCCAAAGAAAGAAUCAACUACCUUAUGAAGCUUAACAGUGCCGCGGUUGAUCAAUCGUGUUUGUAUUCCAAAGAGUAUCAGACUGAUAUACUAGAAGAGCGUAACGAAUAUCAGCUCAGAAAUAUGAAGGAAACUAGAAGAUCGAUAAUGGAUAGCAUAACGAUUGAGGAUCCAAAUAUCUUCACAAGAAAGCAAAUCAAACUUAUGAGUGAAGCCAUCGUGAAGAAAAAUAUGAAACAGGAUGAUUAGCAUCACAAAUGAUUUAAUAAAAAAAAAAUAGAAGAGCAAAUUGCGACAUCGAAAUUCUUAAGUAUAGGGUGAAGCAACAAAGACGUGAUAACAAGCUCAUAAAGAAGCGUUUGACACGUCGAGAAUUUGAUAGUAAAAAAGAGCAAAUAGAAACUGAAUUGGCGCAAAUCAAUCACGAUGAACUGUUGCACGACUACACUCCAGAUGAAUUACGUCGGAAAAUAGAGUGCAAAUCUGUUGAAGACGAUAUCGUUCGUGAGAAGAAAAAACAGGACGAAAUAUUGGCUCAGGAUGAAGAACUUGAAGAAGUAAACAGAACUCUGAAGACUUCUUUCGAACAUAUUUUGGAUAUUAUGAAAAACAUGGAAACAGAGUCCAAUGCUGGAACAGUCCAGCGCGCUCUCAAUACUGCUCGAUUUGAUACAUCAAUAGCUCCAACCAAAGUUGACUGUGCAGUUCUCAUUCCAAAUGCCAAAGAAAGAAUCAACUACCUUAUGAAGCUUAACAGUGCCGCGGUUGAUCAAUCGUGUUUGUAUUCCAAAGAGUAUCAGACUGAUAUACUAGAAGAGCGUAACGAAUAUCAGCUCAGAAAUAUGAAGGAAACUAGAAGAUCGAUAAUGGAUAGCAUAACGAUUGAGGAUCCAAAUAUCUUCACAAGAAAGCAAAUCAAACUUAUGAGUGAAGCCAUCGUGAAGAAAAAUAUGAAACAGGAUGAUUAGCAUCACAAAUGAUUUAAUAAAAAAAAAAUAGAAGAGCAAAUUGCGACAUCGAAAUUCUUAAGUAUAGGUAUACGAGUCACGUUCCUCAAUUUUGAUUAUUACCGCUUUCAUCAGUGUAAAGGCUUAAAA